rnacentral:rRNA from 1 species
GGGUGUAAAGCGUGCGCAGGCGGUUUUGUAAGACAGAGGUGAAAUCCCCGGGCUCAACCUGGGAACUGCCUUUGUGACUGCAAGGCUGGAGUGCGGCAGAGGGGGAUGGAAUUCCGCGUGUAGCAGUGAAAUGCGUAGAUAUGCGGAGGAACACCGAUGGCGAAGGCAAUCCCCUGGGCCUGCACUGACGCUCAUGCACGAAAGCGUGGGGAGCAAACAGGAUUAGAUACCCCUGGUAGUCCACGCCCUAAACGAUGUCAACUGGUUGUUGGGUCUUCACUGACUCAGUAACGAAGCUAACGCGUGAAGUUGACCGCCUGGGGAGUACGGCCGCAAGGUUGAAACU